rnacentral:rRNA from 1 species
AUGAGCCAUUCACCCCCGGCACAACAAAGAGGCCGCACAAAACCCUCCUCUCUGAUUCUCCAAAGCGGCGGCGCGGUGGGCAUGGACGGUGUCGGUAUGGCGACACCGCCGGAGGCCAACACUUCGCCCGCGCCCAACGGCGGCGGCUGCGGCGGGAUCAGGGUCGAGAAUUGCUACGUCUUCAAGAGCAGGCUGCAGGAGUACGCGCAGAAAGCCGGCCUCAUGACGCCGGAGUACCAAACCCUCAAGGAGGGGCCUUCCCAUGAGCCAAUCUUCAAGUCCAGCGUGGUGAUUAACAACGUCAAGUACGACUCGCUACCCGGGUUCUUCAGCCGCAAGGCUGCAGAGCAGUCGGCCGCCGAAGUUGCGCUCAUGGAAAUCGGCAAGUCUGUGGCGUUACCAACCAAUGCAACCAUCCCGGCAGUCCAAGAAACUGGUCUGUGCAAGAAUCUUCUUCAGGAGUAUGCUCAGAAGAUGAAUUAUGCUAUUCCAUCUUAUACUUGCAACAAACAAGGUCCAUACAUAUGCACCGUAGAGAUUGGUGGAAUACAAUACAUUGGUGCUACAGCACGGACAAAGAAAGAGGCAGAGAUAAAAGCUGCCCGAACUGCUCUUCUUGCAAUCCAAGUUGCAGGCCAAUCAGAGGGUUGUGCAAAUGGUACCACAAAAUAUAUUGUUGUGCCUGGCAAAAGGCAAGGUAAGGAGAUCGAGAAAAAGCCUGUUGAAACUCCAAAAUCACUUAAGACCAAGAAAGGUGGUUUCAAGAAGCAACGGAACAAGAAUAAAUUCAUCAAGAAGAAUGGCCAAGAAGUUAACGAGGAAAAGGAUGAAACUGGAGUGCCCGGAGAUGCUCAUCAUUCUGAUGUCCCUGUGAAGCCAGCUGUAACAACAGAAGAUCCAUUGACCAACACUGUAAUGAUGCAACCUGAUGAAGCUGGGCCAUUCGAACAUGAACCGACCGGUGACACUGCAAUGCUGCAACCUGAUGAAGACGCUUGGCCAUCCGAACAUGAACCGACCGGUCACACUGCAAUGCUGCAACCUGAUGGCGAAGCUACAAAAGUGGAACAGGAGCAACUCAGUGACACAGCAAUGCUGCAACCUGAUGAUGAAGGUGGAAGAGUAGAACAUGAGCCACUCAGCAACGCUCCAAUGGUGCUACAUAAUGAGGAAGCUAGAAAUGUAAAGCAGGAAGCACUCAUCGGCACUGCAAUGCCCCAACCUCACGUGGAAGAUAGAAGAGUAGGAGCAGAGCCACCUAGAGAUGCUGCAAUGGUGCAACCUAAUGAUGAAGCUAGAUGCGUAAAGCAGGAGCUACUAAUUGACACUGCAAUGCCUCUCCCCAAUGAGGAGGCCGGAGCAGCUGCAAAUCCUGUGCCAUUGAGUGACUCCAUAACAGCGCAACCUAAUGCAGAGACUACAAAUAUAAAUGAGUCACCGAGGAAUGCAGCAUCAGCGCAACAUAAUGAAGAAGCUAGGACCGUAAACCAGGAGCCACCCAGCAGUGCUUCGCUGCUGCAGCCAAAGGAACCCAGAGUCGAGAUCGGUGAAUUUGUUUCUGAAAACAAGGACCAAACUCUGGGAGAUGCAUCUCGUGAGGCAAAUAGGUCCAUCGAAGAUAUGCCAGAAAAGUGCUCAGAUAAUUCAUCUGCUUUUACAAGCGUGGAAUAA